GGCUAGACAGAGAUCUCCGCACGAGCCUGCUGGCAGUUUUUGCCCGACCAUGACGUGACCGUUUAUUGCAGUUCUUUCAGCCUUUUAACGAGUUGCUUCCCUGCCGGGGGUGAGGGACCGAAAGAGUUAACGUCUCAAACGCUGAGGCGGGGCAAGGUCUGCGUACCGACGAACCACAGGCGACAAGCGGAUCGGCACCGGCCAGCCCGGGACACCGGCAAGAGGCGGCCGGGCCGGGCCGGGCCGAGCCGCGCCGCGGGGCUCCGCGCUCCGAAGGGCGGGGCAGGGCGGCGCGGGGCGGCUCCGCCUCUGCGGCCGGAGGACAAACAAGGGUCACGCCUGCAGGCCGGGAGGAGCGGCUCUCCAAACGACCCCAGGCCCACCGACCCAUUUCCCGAGGGUUCCGAAAGCACAGACCGCGCGUGGCACCUCAUCAGCCUCAUGAGUGCGAGCGCCCGCCCGAAGGAGGGGCCGGGACGUGAUAAAAGAGCGCGAACGGAAGCCUCAGGCGCGCGCGCCCGCCGGAAGCGGGCCUUUGGGCUGGCCGGAGCAACGCUGGAGCCAGGAGCGGUGUUGCCAGCUAAAGUUGCUGUCACUGAGGGUGUCGUUGAACAGUCUCCCCCAGUUCCGUGGCCUCAAGAUCCAGACUUUUUCCAAGAGGAUCCUGCAUUGGCUGUGUCCUGUGCCCCUGGGACUGGUAAUUCAACAGACUUCGGUGCAAUGGAUUUGGAAUCCAUUUGAUUGAUGUGAUGGGAUGGAGGUGAUAGUGGGAGUUGUAAUAACCAUUUAUUUCCCCAUUGCAUGGGUGCUUUGUCUUGCAUCAAAGUCGUUCAGAUGGUCAAGCUGUGAUAAUGGAACUUUGUCAGCACAGCUAAGGUUUUGCCCAUCAUCAAAGAAGGUGGAUGGGUUUAUAAAAUACCUAUAAAAAAUAAUAAAUCUUUUUUUAAACAGAAAUCAGCUCCAGAAGAGAACAAAACUGGCUCUACCCAGAAUGAGUAAAGUAGGCUGGAAGAGAUAAUUCAAAACUGAAUGCCUCCUCCAAUUAGCUAGCUACACAUUUUGCCGUUUUGUUAUUGUGUUUCUUGAUCUACCAGGGGUUGUUCUUUUACUUAAACAGAAUUUGUCAGGACAUAAAUGCAUAUAGGUUCCAUUAGAAAUGUCAAACCACAUGGUAUUCUUGCAAGUUGGGUUUUAGAAUCUCUUUUAUCUGAAGGAGACAAAUGCUCAGAAGCAGGGAACAUGCUUCCUUUUCUGAAGCAGGAAUGCUGGACAGAAAGAAAGGUCUUCCAGAGUUGUUUUUGUUAGGGCUACUUUUUUGUGCCUUUUCUAAUGGGGGCUAUUGCAAUUCUGAGAGAGGAGAAGGAAAGUUGCUCUAAUGCGUGCCAUCUGUUCAGGGACUUGAAAGGCUGGCUACCUGACUGCAAUGGCUGGCAGGACAGGAGGUGACAGGGAUUCUGCACUUUUCCUCUAGGAUGGUGGUAGUUUAUGAUUGCUUUUGAGGACUGGCAUAGCCAAGGGGUAGGACAUGAAAGAAUUAUGCUCAGAGUUCUUUUGUGCAGGCUUUAGAGACUUCUGAUCAUUUCUCAAGUUUAGAGAGAGCAGCUUCUGUCAUACUUGUGUAACUGAGCUGUUUGGCUUUCUCAGAGAUGGCAGAGCUAAUAAGCUUGAGAUGCUGCUGUCCGUAUGCUGCCACCUUUAGAAACAAAACCAGCUUGGAUGUUCUUACUUGGAAAUAUGUCUGUUAAUAAAGCUUAAGUGACCUUGUAACAGUAGGUCUAGUCUUGAGUAUGAAAAACAUCAUGUCUAGUUAUGCAGUUUGGGUUCCUUUGCUUUCCUGUAGGAAUCUGAGACUAAGGCUCUUGGUUGUUUUUUGGGUUGGUUUGGGUGUGGGUUCUCCCCCCCAUUUGUGUGUGUGUUUUUCUUCCUCCUUCCCAAUUCCUCCCUGAGAUGGCAAGGAGUAGAAAGCUGUUUUGUUUUCUAGUUCAGGGUGCCUGGAGACAAAAUGCUGGAAUGCAUAUCUUUGGAGCGUAACAUAAAGAGCAUGACUUAUACCUAGAAGUUUAUAACUUUUAUUUUCUGACACUGCUUUUUAUGGUUCAUUCCUGCUGUCAGUUGGCAACAGCCAGAAGAGCCAAGAAUGCUCUGUGAGGCACCGUGUAAACUCCACACUUUGAGGUUCUUGUUUUAAGGAGUACUAGCCAAGCUGCAGAGUCUGCCUUCUGGCAGCAGUGAGGAUACGUGAACAGACCUGGCUAUCUCUGUGUAUUUGGAAGCAUAAUGGAAAAUUGACUGCUGAAUUCCCACACAGUUUCUGAAGGGUGAGCAUCUAAGCCUUAGCUAGGUUUCUAAGUGCCGUUUGAAGGACAAAACUGGAAAAAAGAGUGUGCGAGUUAAACAAAACUAUGAUUGCAGAUGGUGUCAUCCCCCCCAUCCCCCCUGCUUUUAAAUUACUCCAGACAUGAAACACUAUAUGAUCAUACCACAUUUGCUACAACUUCCUGUGAUGUGUUGCCAGAUGUUCUAGCUGUCCUGUAAUGAAAGCUUAUCCUGAAGGAUGGAAUCCAUUCUGGGGUAGAGGAGGACAAGCCUGCAUAAGGCUUGUAUACCACCUAACCUGUUAGAAAGUGAAAAUAGUGCUGCUGUCAUUUUAGGGUAUGAAUUGCAUCCAUAGCACUUAAGAAUUUACCUUGGAUUUCUCUGAAUUCCUUCUGCUGGAAGAUUAAAACAUUUGCGAUGGGUAAACUAAUAACUAGUUCUGUUUCAGGCAGAAUUGCUGUGUGGUGAACUAUAUACGCCUGUACUUACUAUACAUGGGCGAGGCUAAAUAAUUUUAAGUCCAGUUUUUGUGAAGAAAAAUUGUAUUGAGAGACUUGAGUUUUAGCUGAAAGAUAUGAAUUUUAAUCCUAGAAAAUGGAAAAGAAAGGAAUUAAAACUUUGAUUUUUCUUUAAUUUUUUUCAUCUUGCACUGAGAUCUAGUAGCCUGUGCAUUAAGUGUGUGCUUACAGUGGAGAAAACAUGAGAGCAUUCACAGAAGCUUUUCUCCAUGUUGAACUGCAUAUAUACAUAACCAUAGCUUGGCAUAGAAUGAUAAAAGAUUUGCUACCAGGUGAAAAUUAGUAAAAAGACCAGGAUUUUUUUUUUCUUGUAAAUCAGAUUUUUAUUUGAAGUUCUGCAUUGUUUCACAUUCAUAGAUGAUAUUUGUGUUUUUAAAGUUUGUGUUCUCAGCAAUUUAUAGUAAAUUGAUGUAGUAACUCAAAGUUUGGUAUUUCCAUUUGUCUUCUUCAAGCCAGCUAUGGUGCUUUAGGGCCUUGUAAGACUUCCAAAUGGAGGAGCUAAUAUUGCUCACAGUGGUGCUACAAGUCCUCCUGCAGUAGGAGUGCAGCAUAGUUAAAGAGGAAGGCGGGGGGUGGGGAGAAGGCUUCAAAACAAACUGUUUUACUGUAUUUUGCAGAUAGUAGUCUAUGAAGGGGACACCUCUUGAAGAGAUAACAGCUCUGUAUAGAGUCCUGGUUGUGCUUAGAAGCUUUGGUAGUGCUACGGUAUAUGGAAGUCCUAACUGUGACACAGAACAUCACUGUACAAGGAACAACACCCAGGACAACACCAGAAUGCCUCCCUUGGAGAUCAGAUUGAUCAUCGGAGGAAUGUUCGUUCUUCUUGAGGGGAGUAAUCAUCGCCAGCAUGAACUAGAUCUAGUUUACACCUGGGCAAGCCUGAUGCAUGGGGUGGAGGCCCUCACAGCUUUUAUUUGUGCUAAUCAGUACGGUAACUGUAGUACAUUCUGCAUCAUACAUGUUUAAAAUCAAUGGAAGUACAGGAAUAGCAGGAAACUAGACACAAAAUUUAACAGUAACAAUCACUAGCAAACAAUACAGUAGGGAGCAAAAAAUUGAAAGGGGGUAAAGGAAGAUAGCAUUUUCUUAUUCCACAAGGUAGAGACUUCUCUAUUAGAUGUGAUGUGUUAAAUUACACAAACAGAAACACCCUUCUGACUGUUAAAAUGAUGAAUCAGCCAGAAACAAAAAUUAGAACUAUGCUGUUGGCAGCACCCAAUACGUGUAAUGGACUUUACCCCUGACAAAUUGCUGAGAGAGUAGGUAGUGUGUCUGUGGUGGACCAGUGGUGGUAAACAGAGACUAGCCUUGAGAUUUAUCCUAAUACCUAUCCCCAUACUACCUUAGCCGCCACAAUGCAUUUCACUGCCUCUGAGACCCCCAAUAAAACUGUUAUGUGGCUAUCUCCACAAAUUUUCAUGACUGGACCUUAUGCUAUUAAAUGUACAGUACAGCAACAAGUCAUAUUUAACCUGUCAUGGUCCCUAAAAAGGGUAGGACUGUCCAUGUCUCAGCUAAUACUAUAAAGGCCCAAGAUAUUUGCUUAGAUUCAGAACAAAGUAUCUGUAAUUUUGAAAUCUACCCUGAAGAAGCAACUGACUCUAUGGUAGUUUAUAUAGGGAAUGGAUGUGUCUGUGUAAGAACACUUUUUGAAAACUUAAUUAUUGAUGGAAAUUUUACCAAUAAUGUAUCCAAUCAAUCAAAUGUAUGUGUUUGUAACUUUGUAAACAUUACUGGAUGUGACUUUAAUUAUACAGGCCCAGUGACCUCAUAUGCAUUGUUAAAAGAGAAUUAUGCACUGUAUCAAGACCUUCUCCCUUCCUCCAUCAGAAUGAACUUGAUGCUGCUUCACAACUGAAGCCUGUGCUACUGAAAAUGAAGCCUUACAAGCCUUAUCACAAAAAGGACAACAACAAAGCAAAAACACCCACUCUGACUGAGUUACCAGUACUUCAGUUCAGGCAUCACUGGCAAAUAAGCCUGACUGCCCUGUUGUGCAAAUCUUGAGAAAUUGUGCUAAGCCACAUCUUCUCAGGAACUUAAGGGAUUUCUUACCAGUAGCAAACAGUACCAGCCUGAGUUAGGACUAGACGAAACUAAAACUGCUAUGGCUGUACACCUGCAUGUACGCCAAAGGGAAAUUUGACUACAAGUCAAUUACUUUACACUAUAAAUAUCUGCAGCCCCCCAGGGCCCGUUGAGCUUUCCUGUACGGCAGGAGGCUGCACGGUGGUGAUCGCCCUUUGAGUAGGGAUGCCUUUCAAGGUUACUCCUCGAGGUCAUGAGAUCCCUUACCUGGCAUCUGUUAUCUACAGUGAGUACAGGCACCCAAGGGCAAGCCCACAUUCAAGGAACAGCAUGAGGAUAUCAGUGUUGACUGUCAGCAGAGGAAGGAAGCUUCUUUUGGAGGCCAAGGCCUGGCAUUGACGGUUACGGUUCCUGAGACAUCAGAUGGACCGACUACACAAGUGGGCACCUGAUGCGGCUACUGACCCUGGAGAUGCAGCAUGGUAGGAGAGCAGAGCUGUGUUAGCCUGCUGGGGGAAAGGAUAUGCACAGCAGGGAGCCAGACGGAGCACUCAGCAUGCAAUAACGGAGGGAACAGUUCUGCUCUUGGUGCCUAUGUGACCUGUUAACAUUGUGUUUUGAAGGUGCAAAACAACCCAUGAAAUCAUAUGCAUAGCAGGGUGUCUGUCCCUGAGUGUGUUUGGCAAGGUGUGACAACGAACUGCUUCCAGGCACAAUGGUCACUGUCUGUCUGGUUUUCUAGGUACUACAGGUGAUGCUGGCUACAUCUUCCAGUAUUAGACUGGGAACAAGUGAGUGGAACACCAUGGUGCUUUUGAGGAGGUUAUCAUUGCAGAAGAGAUCAGCAUUGACUGGCAUGAAACUGCCCGAUGGCGCUCUGUUUGCAGAUGAUGAGGAACCGGGCUGGAUCGCAGCGACAUCCUAGUUAGCCUAGGUGGUCUUUGUCAAGGAUGAAUUCUGACCCCCAGCCCUCUGAAAGCUACCUUGAGGGGCCGAUGCUAUCUUUGUGUCGGGUUGCAGGGAGGGGUUUUAAAUUCAACAUAGUGGAGAGGGCAGCUCAGGAUAGGACAUGUUUGGGCAGAGAGAGGGUCUGGGGUCCUUUAUGCAAAAUGCAAGUGUGUGCUGGGCAGGGAAUCUAGAUGGCAUUCCUAAAUGGAAACAAAGCCUCUGGCUUUGUUAAGCUAUUGCUCUGCAUAUGGGUUACUUGUUUGAUAUUGCUUUUGCAGAUGCAGAGGGACAAGCUGUGUGCCAAAGGGCAAUGGAGCAGAGGUGUGAAGCAAUGAGUGAAGCAGGACAUCGGCACUGGAGUUGACUUGGGCAGGGUGAGCAAUGACUAGUGGGCUGAAGCAGCAGUUAUUUUUCAGGUGUCGUAUUGUUGGUGAAGUUAGAAGUAUCCCUCGUUGUGUUUUACAUGUGGUACCCAAGCCUCAGUGUGGCAACCUGUGAACGGCAGAGGCUGGAUGGGCAAGUGGCCAAGGUGCUGCAAGCAAGCUCAGAGGGGUGAAGUUGCACGCCAGUGAGCAGGCUGAGAAGGAGAGGUGCCAUGCAGGCCACCUUUGGAAUUGGAUGAGGUGCCACAAGUGAUGACGGCUGCAGCAUCUGACACAGGAAUCAGUACGGAGCAGGUGCAUGGAAAGCCAUGUUCCUUUUGAGGAGGAAAGCGUUCUGGAAGAGGUCUGUGUUGAACAACAUGAUGCUUAUUUCUGGCACUGUUUUUUUGUAUGUGAUGAAGAGGAACCUGGCAACUGCAGGAAUAUCCUGGUUAGCAGAUGUAGUUUUUGUUGAGGAUGGAUUCAGACCGCCAGCCCUCUGGAAGCUAAGUUGAGGUACCAGGGACCACUGCCCUACAAUGUAUAAUUUUGACUUCAGUUGGAAAGACACUUUCCAAAAUGUAAAUCUUUCUCAUUUGAAGAAGUUGCGUUUGAUGAACUUUCCAUCAGAGUGGAUCUUCAUAGAUGAUCAACUUGACAGUAGAAGUCAUCAGCAACAAGAUUUUUCACUUUCUUUAGGAAAAAAAACAAAAAAAGGUCAAUUUCUUUCCAAGACCCAAGAACAGCCCAUCUUUCUAAAGUUGAUGGCAUCACUGGUCUUUGGGUUCUCAGUUGUAACAGUUGAGAUACCAUGAAAACGUGUUCCUCUGCAUGCUUCAGUACAGUUGAAAGCAUUAGCAAAUCUGCCAGUCCUUUUUGGUAGUCUGAGGUAUUGCAGCCCUAGGGCUUUUUUUCCCCCAAAGUAAAACCAUAUGAGGGAUCUCUUUUCUCACUGAUUUUUCUAUCAUAAAUGGAACUU